rnacentral:rRNA from 1 species
UGAGGGAAUAUUGGGUCAAUGGGCGGAAGCCUGAACCAGCCAUGCCGCGUGAAGGACUAAGGCCCUAUGGGUCGUAAACUUCUUUAGACGCAGAGCAAUAAGGGUCUCGCGAGAUCCGAUGAGAGUAUGCGUAGAAUAAGCAUCGGCUAACUCCGUGCCAGCAGCCGCGGUAAUACGGGGGAUGCGAGCGUUAUCCGGAUUUAUUGGGUUUAAAGGGUGCGUAGGCGGAAGUGCAAGUCAGCGGUGAAAUGCUUAGAUAUCACGAAGAACUCCGAUUGCGAAGGCAGCUCACGGGAGCGCAACUGACGCUGAAGCUCGAAAGUGCGGGGUAUCGAACAGGAUUAGAUACCCUGGUAGU